rnacentral:rRNA from 1 species
UACGUAGGGUGCGAGCGUUGUCCGGAAUUAUUGGGCGUAAAGGGCUCGUAGGCGGUUUGUCGCGUCGGGAGUGAAAACCCAGGGCUUAACUCUGGGCUUGCUUUCGAUACGGGCAGACUAGAGGUAUGCAGGGGAGAACGGAAUUCCUGGUGUAGCGGUGAAAUGCGCAGAUAUCAGGAGGAACACCGGUGGCGAAGGCGGUUCUCUGGGCAUGUCCUGACGCUGAGGAGCGAAAGUGUGGGGAGCGAACAGG